CUUCGUUCCUAAACCUAAGAAAAGUUACGUCGAGCGACCCAUCGUCACCCCCGCUGAUUUGGAGGGAAAGUCACCAGAAGAGCAGGAAAUGCUUAAAGUGAUGGGCUUUUGUGGGUUCGAUACAACAAAAGGACUCCCGUGUUACAAAAAGUUUACAGAUGCACCUCAAAAAAAUUAUAGGAACAAUCGAAGAAGGUAAAAAUUGUCAAAAUUUAACAUGAUUCCUAUGAGAAAAUUAUAAAAUUUAUAUCAUAGCUAUAACUUAAAUAUUCUAUAAAAAGCAGCUGAGUUUAUUAAACCUUUUUACGGUAACAAUAUAAAUUCAGCUGUUUACAUUUGCAUAAGGAUAUCGGUUUAGCAUCUCAACUUUGCAUUACUAAACUUCCACGGAGCCUGGGGCUACUAGCUAUUAAACACAGUAUUUACCAUUGCCAUCUCUAUCGGUGAUAAUAUUGGUGUUUUUGUAGGGAGAUUCCAUUUAAUAAGAAUUUUACUAUAUUGAGACCGAAGCCAGCAAGGUAAAACAAGUAUUUUAAACAUUGGCAAAAAUCAAACAUCACAAAUUAAUAACCUUUAUAGUACUGUAAAAACUGGAAUGAUUAAAAGCAAGACAGAUGUGUUUGCUCACAAUCUACAAUUUGCAUUUCUAUCUUGGAAUUAUCUAAUUGAUUUUGACUUUGACAGUUAUAUUGAUUUUGACAGUUAACUCGCAUCUUAUAUAUACACAUGCUACCAGACUCAUGCGAGUCUUGCGAGUUGAGAUGUUAUUACCAACUAGAUUAGGCCGUUACACAGUGCCCGUGCGUUGCCAACGCCCGCACGGUGCCCGAUAUAGCGCCAUGCGCACCAAGAAACAUGUUGAAGUUGGCUCUGAAGCGAUUUAUAAGGUCUUAGUGAAGUAAUGGAGUUAUAGACUGUCUACCCUCAUUCCAAACAAUAUUAUUUACCUUUUAUGUAAUCUACACUUUCCAGAUUAUCUUAUAAGCUCCAAGCCAAUCAAUUUAAAUGAUCCAACCUUCACUAAACCGUUAAUAAGACUGAAGCUAAUGUGCCUUAGUUUUAAGUUUCCCGCGCGACGUGUCUUCAAUAGAUAUAUUUUUACACAUAUACACCCCAUACCCCCCAAUCCUCCACAACUACAAUAGUUAAAAGAUUGUCGAGUCAUAGUGUUGUUUUUUUUUAAUUUUCCAUAAACAAAUACAGCACUAUGCCACGACAGUCUCCAUAGACAAUAUACAAAUGUUAUAUUAUUAUUGUAUUUUUAUACGCACCCACGUCGCGCGGGGGGGCACGCCUGGCGUAUGACGUCACAUCAAAGCCAACUUCACUUGUUUGUCACAACACCAGCACCCCCCGAAUGAAUCAAACUAGCGAAAAUUUUUAAAGAAAUUUUAAUAUCAAGAAAAGUGUGAUUUGGAUUGCUUUUAUAGUACAAAGCAGAGUUGUUCGUUUGUUUGUGGACUUUUGGCGAGUGUCCAAUUAACAGAAACUCAUGCAAUUUGAAAUUUAAAAAUCAGUUUUACAUUAACUUUUUUGGUUUAAUCACCAAACCAUUUUAUUAGUAAUAUUCCAUUGGAAAACCAAAGAUUCAUUCCCACGUGUAUAUACCACGUUUUUCUUUAAUUCCAAAAUUGUACAUUUUCGGUCGUAAGUGUAAAUUGAAAUAAGUAUAAGAUGUUUGUACAAUUUCAUUAAAUUAAUUUCAUUCUAAUUCUCAAACACAUUUAUUUCUGUUUAAAAUCGUAUGGUAUCAAAAAAUGGAUUGAGGGCUUACAAUCAUUUUAAUUCCGCAUUGUCUACGAAUUUUUUAUUCAAAUUUGAAUGUACCUCCUGAGAUUUACAAGUCUGUUUUGAAUUUUAAAAUAUGUGUGCGAGUCUUAUACUCCUGCAUAAUUUGGGUUCAUAUAACAAUCUGUGUUAAACAGCUAUGAAUAACAAAAACAAUUGUUUUGGAUUAGAUUUAUAUGAUGAUAUUAAAAUGAUUGUGAACUCUAAAUAUUCCGUAGUUUUCUGUACUAUAAGUAAAAAGUACAGAAUGAAAAUAAUAAAUUAAUUUUAAAUUUAUGUAUAUUUGGAAUGACAACAAAAUAAUGAUAAAAUAUUAAUAUUAUUUAUUUGAGUCGUUAUUUUUCCACAUUUUUCGUCAUAUGUAAUAGAAAUAAAUGCUUAUGUAUUUUGGUUUUGAAAUUUCUGUUUGAUCACAGAUUUUAAAGGUUGGUACGAAUAUAUUGUUUGUGAUCAAAUGUCGAAAGUUUGAAUAAAAUUAUGAUUUUAAA